rnacentral:rRNA from 1 species
UACAGAGGGUGCAAGCGUUUAAUCGGAAUACUGGGCGUAAAGCGUGCGUAGACGGUUACAUAAGUCGGGUGUGAAAGCCCCGGGCUCAACCUGGGAAUUGCAUUCGAGACUGCGUAGCUAGGGUGCGGAAGAGGGAAGCGGAAUUUCCGGUGUAGCGGUGAAAUGCGUAGAUAUCGGAAGGAACACCAGUGGCGAAGGCGGCCACCUGGACGGUCACUGACGCUG